UAAUACAUAGGGGGCAAGCGUUAUCCGGAAUUAUUGGGCGUAAAGGGUGCGUAGGCGGUCAUUUAAGUCUUUGGUGUAAGUGCAAGGCUCAACCUUGUGAUGCUAAGGAAACUGGAUGACUUGAGUGUGAUAGAGGUAAGUGGAAUUCCAUGUGUAGCGGUAAAAUGCGUAAAUAUAUGGAGGAACACCAGUGGCGAAGGCGGCUUACUGGGUCACAACUGACGCUGAGGCACGAAAGCGUGGGGAGCAAACAGGAUUAGAUACCCUGGUAGUCCACGCCGUAAACGAUGAGUACUAAGUGUUGGAGAAAUUCAGUGCUGUAGUUAACGCAAUAAGUACUCCGCCUGAGUAGUACGUACGCAAGUAUG
rnacentral:rRNA from 1 species